rnacentral:rRNA from 1 species
CCUACGGGUGGCAGCAGUGGGGGAUAUUGCACAAUGGGGGGAACCCUGAUGCAGCGACGCCGCGUGGGUGAAGAAGCGCCUCGGCGCGUAAAGCCCUGUCAGCAGGGAAGAAAAUGACGGUACCUGAAGAAGAAGCCCCGGCUAACUACGUGCCAGCAGCUGCCGUAAUACGUAGGGGGCAGGAGUUAUCCGGAUUUACUGGGGGUAAAGGGGGCGCAGACGGCGAUGCAAGCCAGGAGUGAAAGCCCGGGGCCCAACCCCGUGACUGCUCUUGGAACUGCGUGGCUGGAGUGCAGGAGGGGCAGGCGGAAUUCCGGGUGUAGCGGUGAAAUGCGUAGAGAUCAGGAGGAACACCGGUGGCGAAGGCGGCCUGCUGGACUGCAACUGACGUUGAGGCUCGAAAGUGUGGGUAUCAAACAGGAUUAGAUACCCUUGUAGUC